AUGUUCACAGUGUGUUCAGGCACCUCUUUUUCUGUAACAGUAGCACUGGAGGUAACCAUGGUUAACCAAUUGUGAGGGCACUGAAGGCACUGGUGGCUGGGUCCCAUUGAGACCAGGAGGGUGGAUGGCAGGAAGGCUGGCAGAAGGUGGUGCCAGAGCCAAUGAGGUCUACAAGGGCAGCACUGAGACAGAGGAAGAAGUUGUUGACAGUCAGUGCCACCCCCUAGACUGAUUGUAAAUAAGGAGGCAGGGAUAUGGGUGCAGGUUCUGGUUGGAGUCUGACUGAGGUUGGUGGGAUGGUCUUCCAUUUGCCUGAGUGGACCAGCCCUUACUGACUGCAUUUCUAGUUCUUCACUCUUGGUUCCCCUCCCUUUCAUUUUCAUUGCUAACCAUGGUUAGUGUUACUUAUGUACCUUUUAGUAAGGUAAAGGGACCCCUGACCAUUAGGUCCAGUUGUGGCCCUCUGGGGUUGCUUUAUUCACUCGCUUUAUUGGCUGAGUGAGCCAGGGUACAGCUUCUGGGUCAUGUGGCCAGCAUGAUUAAGCCACUUCUGGUGAACCAGAGCAAUGCAUGGAAGUGCCGUUUACCUCCCCGCCAGAGCAGUACCUAUUUAUCUACUUGCACUUGGAUGUGCUUUCAAACUGCUAGGUUGGCAGGAGCAGGGACCAAGCAACGGGAGCUCACCCCGUCGUGGGGAUUCGAACCGCCGACCUUCUGAUCGGCAAGUCCUAGGCUCUGUGGUUUAACCCACAGUGCCACCCGUGUGUACCUUGGCCAUCGUCAAAGCCUAGGUGAGCGAGCCAAAAUUGCAAGGGCAAGUUUAUUUAUUAUGUUUAUACACCACCUUUUCCUCCAAGGAGAGCAAAGUGUGCACGGGUUCUCCAAUUCCCUCUUUUAUCCUCACAACAACAUGCAAGUCGAUGGCUGGCCCAAGGUCACCCAGGAAGCUCCACAGCCGAGUGGAUAUUCACACCCUGGUCUCCAAGGUCCUAGUCCAACACUCCAGCCCUUGCACCACACGAGCUGUCAUGCUGAGCUGGGAGAGGACAGCAGUUCUUCCACUUUUUACUUUUUCCUCACUGAGAGAAGGUGAGGUGUAUGCUGGCUGGGGCUGGUGGGCAGCUGUAGUCCAAAGGAUCUGGACAGCAACAGGUUGGUAGGGGCUGGUUUAGGUGUGUAUGUAUAUUUUAAUGAACUGAACAGGGUGAAAGAUUAUGAGUCCAAGUGUAUGUGCAUGGAUAUCAAUUUAAUAGUGUUUAGAUAUUUUUUUUUAAGUUGCUAUUUUGUUAACAUUGUUUUGAAGAUUAUAAAUGCCUUAUUGAUUUCCUAAUCAUAUAAUAUGACAUGCUGUAAUUGUGAUAUUUAGCUUAUUUUUAAUUGCUGGUUUGUUUCACAGGUUAUAAUUGUUUUACUGAUGGUUUGUUACUUAUAUGAUUUAGGCUAUUGUCAAGGCUGCCUCAAGUCUCAGCUCACAAAAGACCAACGCCUAUGUCUUCUUAUAUACAAAGGUGUUUAUUGCAGUUCAUGGUUUGCUUGACAUCCUAGGCGCGCAGCCUUACGUCUCUUACGCUAGACCGCUGAAGUCCCCUCUGAGUCAGUCCCUCCCCUGCACCAAUUUAAGAGACUUGCGCUGCUCCACCUCUUUCUCUCCUUCCUUUUCCGCAGGGUCCUUCUGCCCGCUGGGGUUGCGCCCCUUCUGGAUUCCACUGACGCUGAAUCCCCAGACUGCUCUUCCCCCCUCCUGCGGGCUUUGGGACCUGGCCCCUCCUCCGGGCUCCCUGUACUUCCGCGCGCCUCUACAUUUGAACUAGGCGCGCGCGCCAAACCUCUAACUUUCCUUUUGACAGUUACACUACUCCCUUCACUGCUCCCUCCCCUUCCGGAAGGGCGGCUUGCUCUGACCUCCCUCCUUUCUCUGCUCCCGGAGCUGCUUCCUCUGACACACUGGAAACUCCACCCCUUCGCUGCACUCUGGUGGGGAGGCUGGUCCUGACGCCCAGCUGCCACUUUGGGAUCCUCCGCUGGCCCCCUGCUCCUGACACGUCCCUCCUGGGGCUCCCUGGCCUUAACCACCGGCGCCCCUUCUGGGAAUCCUCUGAUUCGCUGGAAAGACUCAUGGAAUCUCUUGAGUCAUUGUCAUCCUCUUCCUCGCUGGCUUGGAAUUCCUCCCCAUCGCUCUCCAUCUCCUGCCUACCCUGUCCCUCUCUCCCUGAACCCCUGACAUCCAUACUUUCUGCUGAUUUAUUAUCUUAUUGCUGUUUAUUGUUUGUAAGCCACUUUGGGAUUUGUUUGAAUGGGAAGCAGCAUAGAAAUACAGUCAAUCAGUCAUUACCUUUUGACCUGCCCUGGUAUGUCAACUGAGCUGAUUCUUCACCAUUACUGGUAAUAGUUUUAGUGCUCUGCUAGUUUUAAAUCUUGUUGGUUUCAGUGCAGUCUUUAAUCACAUUUGAUGCUUGCAUUAAUUCAAUGUAAACUCCCCUGGAAGGCAGCAUAUAAAUUAAAUUAAAUAAAUAGUAGCAUGCAAUGGGUAUUUUUAUUUAUACAGCAGAAUAAAUCUGCCGUCAUGACAUAUGCUGUCCGCACUAGUAAAGCAGUGUGAAGUGGCAACCUGUCAGGAUCCGUUUCCCUGCAAAUAAAACACAAGCUUAACUGCCACAUACUAUUUUAUAAUUCCAAUGAAAUUCAUCCAUUUAAAAGGAAGCAUUUAAAACUUGGCCUGCACAACAUAAGAUUGGUGGGCUGAUGAGCAGACCUUUCCUUUUUAUUUGGGAUCUCCUGGAGGAAUUCAACUAUAAUUUGUGGUCCUUUCUUACAUAAGGGGAAACAGCUAAGCUCCACUUCAGACUACCAAACCUGAUGGAUGGGUUUGUGGUGAAAUGCCUGUGUCACUGCUUCCCCUGGAUUCAGAGGUAUGGGGUAGCCAAGUUGGUACCUAUUUUUGCAGGCAGCAACCCAUGUCAUUCAACGUGAAAAUUCCUAGGAGAGUGUGUUUGUGUGCACUGGCUGCCUAAGUCAACAAGGAAAGUUGAUGGAGAUGAGGAGGAGGAUGGGGAGCAAGGAGAGAGAUGAAACUUCUUCUUAUAUGAAAAAGAAUCCUGUGGUGUAUGUGGGGGCCUGUGCAAAAAAUGGACACUUGAAGAUGGAGGGUACAGGAUUCCAGCAGAGAGCUUCACCCAGAAGUCCUUUUUUUGGUUGUAUUACAUUGUACUGUCCAGCAGCAAUACAUUAGGUGAGAAGUAAGCAAGGUGGAGUUAAGGAGAUCUAAUGCCAGCUCUGUGCCAGUUUCUCAGCCCCCUCAGUCACUGAAACAGGACUAUUGCAGCAGCUGCUGUCAAAAAUCUAGCACAGAAGCUCAUAAUAGCAGCCCCAUAGCCACACCUCCAAGGGGAGUCCAAAAAUGCAGGCAGCAAGGUCCAUAAACUACCCAGCUGCUCUGUGAAGAUGUCAUCACUUCUGGGGUGGGGGAAAGUCUCAGAGCUCUGUUUCCAAGAACAGCAACAUUCCCACUGAUUCCACUUCACAUUUCACAUUAUUCUGCUGCUGUCUGGAUAACCCAGCUCAGGGGUUUCCAAACUUUGGUCCAUGGACCAACAGUGGUCUUCAGGCUUCAUUCAGGUUGCUUGCAGCAUGACCACAUUAAAUAUCCACAUUGAUUUUAAUACAUAUUUCUAUUGCUUUGAUUAUUUCUUGUACUGUAUUACAGUUCGAAUUAAAUGGAGUGCAAAAUUUAUUAUAAUAGAAAACCAUAUGAGAAAUAAAGAAAGCCAUAAAAAUACAAUAAAAAUCAUACAGCAUCUAACACGGUGCAUUGCAAUUGCUACAACAUACAGAACAAUCAUUAAGUGGUUGUCAGGGGCUAGGCAGAGGAGGAGGAAUGGUGGAGACCGCCUCCCCAUCCUGGCCCUUACAGGGAAGAGGAAGACAGUAUAGAUUUACAACAGUGGUUUGCGGGAGGUCGCAGUCAGAGGCGGAUGAGGGGGAAAGUUGGAAAUAAUGGGAGAGCCAGAGCAACACCUGGCUGACACGGUGUCAUUAGAAAGCAUUGCAGACCCACAUUCUCCCAGAACCCGGCGAGCCUUAAAAGCAGGAGAGCAAAGAGUUCAAAGACAGAGAGCACUUAGCGGCACCCGUAGAGGUGGUGAUGAUGAUGACGCAUGAGGAAGGGGGGGUGGAGAUUCACUUGGGAUAACACCAUUAUCCAAGAGGGUGGGUUCUAUAGCCUCUCUCUGUAAAGUCUGAACUGAGAAAGGACAGGAAUAAAUUUUUCCUUCUCUUUAUACUUUCCUAGGCAACCAGCUGGGAGCCACUGACAGCAUUCUGACAGUGAUUCACCAUAUAACGUUUACUGCACAUGUAACUUGUUAAGAUACAGUUGUACAUUUAUCCACUCCAUGUUUACAGUAUCUCCAGGCUUUGUCUUGCACAUGGCACCUUAGUAUGUUUGUUGUUUGAAUGGUUACAAGUCUAUCUCUAUUCUAGCUAUUAUUCCAGGAAAUUUGGUUUUAUACUUAUAAGCCAGUUUGUGGUGUUGUUGUUUUGUUGUAUUAUUAUUACUGUCACCACAUUUGAUACUUUGUGUAUAUACUUUGCAGUGAUUCACCAAGACCACCAGCAAUUUUCAAGUUGUCCAAGGAGAGAAAAGUUUGGGAACCACUGACCUAGAUCACCAUCCUGGCAAAUGCACCGAACUAGCUGUUUUCGGCAUUGUGUACUACAUUUGGAAAGAUUGUGGCAGAUUCAUUGCAAGCAGCAGUGGCACAGAGCAUCCAGCCAAAGCAGUGAUGCAAAGGGCUGGGAUGGGAGCGCAUGUUCAAAAGUGCCUUUUCCUAAUAUUGAUAAUUCCAUGAGCUCAUAUGCACACACACACACACACACACACACACACACAUACAAGUUAUAUAACUUAGGAAAUAAAUUUUAGUUGGGUCCGGUGUCACGAGC
rnacentral:lncRNA from 1 species